rnacentral:rRNA from 1 species
AUUGAACGCUGGCGGCAGGCCUAACACAUGCAAGUCGAACGAGUGGCGGACGGGUGAGUAAUGUCUGGGAAACUGCCUGAUGGAGGGGGAUAACUACUGGAAACGGUAUCUAAUACCGCAUACCAUCGGAUGUGCCCAGAUGGGAUUAGCUAGUAGGUGGGGUAAAGUCUCACCUAGGCGACGAUCCCUAGCUGGUCUGAGAGGAUGACCAGCCACACGGGAACUGAGACACGGUCCAGACUCCUACGGGAGGCAGAGGUGGGGAAUAUUGCACAAGGGGCGCAAGCCUGAUGAAGCCAUGCCGCGUGUAUGAAGAAGGCCUUCGGGUUGUAAAGUACUUUCAGCGGGGAGGCGUUACCCGCAGAAGAAGCACCGGCUAACUCCGUGCCAGCAGCCGCGGUAAUAC